UUACUUUCACCUGAAAAAAAAGUCACACACAGCGGCACAACGGCGCAGUGCCAACUCAGUUUGUCGCCAGGAGCUCAAUCCCCUCUGUCUCAAACUUUCCAUGCCACGCCGGAGGAAGCGACGAAGCGUCAUCCCUCCUCCCCAAACAAUCAUCGCGGUGCGGCUCGGCCCACUCGGGCAGCCGCCAGGAGGUCCAUCCUCCCUCCCUCCCCUCAAACGACAUCGCGUUGUCGGGACAGGCCACGACACUAUCUCCUCGCGGCCUCGCCUUUCCUUCUCCUACUGGCGACGGUGCGGCCACACACGAGGUGGAAGUAAAUAUCCGUGGGUCCGUGGCGAGGUGCAUAGCAGCGGACCUGGCCGCCAGGAGCAGUAGUGAGGGUGCCAGGGAUGGAGGUGGCCAUCACCGCCGUCGACAUGGCAAGCUCGUCUGGUGGCGCGGUAUGCAACUUGUAUUCCCACCACUCUGCUGAGGAUGAGGCGAUGGCGUUGGACGAGGCGCAGCGGGGCACGGAGCUGCGCGAGUACUGUCGUUGUAUAGUGGCACGCUACAGAUUCCAUUCUAGGUUGUUGCGGCCAUGAUGGGCAUCUCGACGAGUUGGCUUAAGCCAAGGAAGGUGGAGCACAACAUCGUAAGUACAAUGCAGAUGUUGGACAAAUGGUUGCUGCGGCCGUGAUGCACAUCUCGACAAGGUGGCUCAAGGCAUUAGUUGAGCUAACAAAGGUGGACCAGCAAAUUCCUUCCAGUCAUUAUACAAAUGUGGUGUAUCAUGGUUUUCUUAAAAAUUGGUGGUUGGUGCAUUCAUUUCGCUUAGUGCCUAGAUCUAUGUGGAUUUUGCUUCCUUGACUGAAUCGUGCGUAGAGUGUUUUAUUCCCAAUAACUAUUGGGGUAGGCAUGAAAAUUGUAGAAUUAGAUGGAUUAUUGGUAUGGAUUUUCUUUCUGUUUUAUCUGUACCUUCUGACUUGCUGUUGCAGCAGCUUUGCUUGGUGGAACAAAGGUUGAGUUGCCACCCGGAGGCUUUGGACAA